UAAACAAUUAAAGUAUCACAAGUAUAUCGUUCUGUACACGGUUCUACAUGCCACAGGAGAUUAAUACCAGUUGAUUUAUCAUAGUGGAAUUCUUUCAAUGUUAAUUGAGCUCCUGCCAAAGGUGGUGUCGCACAGACUGCUGAAGACUUAUCUUCUUCGUUUAAGCUAGAAUUGCUCAACCAAUUGGCAAAUUCUAAAAGCGUACAAUCACAAUUCAAAGGAUUAUCUGCCAAAGAAAGUCUUGUCAGUCGUAAUUUCGAUGUUGGUACGUCGCUGGCUACCAUUGUAAUAUCGUUAUCAUCGAGACGAAGAUCUUGGAGACUUUUUAAUGAAACAGUAAGGAAACGUAAUCGUGGCAUUUGAGGAAGAAGAUUUGGUCCCAUUGGACCCAGUAAUAGAUUAUUAGACAAAUCAAGUUCUUCUAAACUUUUAAGACCUCUCAAUGCUGAUAGAGCUGAUACGCUUAAACGAUUUCCACGCAUUCUUAAUGAACGCAAUAAAGGUACUGCAGCAAAAGCUUGGGGCGAUAGUUGUGAUAAUAAAUUGUCGCACAAAUCUAAAUAUGUUAGAUUUGACAAAUCCUGAAACAUUUAAAUAUUUAUAUGUCUAAUCUAUAAUGUUAUGAAUUAUUGAUUUUCACAUUUAUCUUAUUUUCAAUUAUUUAUUAUAUAUUUAAGAAUUUUUAAAUUUUACCUUAAAAGAUCCAGCUUCCAACAUUUUCAGUUUAUUCUGAGACAGAUCCAAUCUUUCUAAACCGAUCAAAUGUGAUAAAGCUGUAGUAGGUACAGAAUCUAAUAGAUUGUUUGGAAGUCCAAGAGCUUGAAGAGGUGUAAUAAGCCCAACGAAAGCAUUUUCAUGGAUAUGUUUCAAUUCUCCGCUAGAAAUGACAAGCCCAUGCAAGGCAACAUCUUCCAAAAAGCGAGAUGGUAAUAGAGAAAUUCCUGUUAUUGUUACAUCCAGUAAAGAAAUCGUUCCUGGACGACUAAAUUUCAACUUUUUACUGAUAAUCUGUGUAAAAAAAAAAAAAUGUUUCUAUCUUUUAAUAUUCAAUUCAACUUAGUAAUGAAAUCAAUCAAUAUCAAUAUAAUCAUAAUAUAAUUCUAUUAUGAUAAUAUGUGAAUAUAAAUCAUUCGAGUUACUCUCAUGACAAAUUUAAUUAUACAUUCUCUAUUGCAUAAUGAAAAUCAUUUGAUUCCCAAAGGAGUAUUGUAAGGCUGGAUAUUCGAAGUAACUGGUAACGGGACAUUCAACGCAAAACAAGCAUGUACAAGACAGAGAGACCGCACAAUGGUUUGUUGAACAAUGAAUGGAACUUGUAAAAUAUUUUAUUGAUCGUCUAUACAUCCACGCUUUAUAUUAUUAAAAAAAAUU
rnacentral:lncRNA from 1 species